rnacentral:rRNA from 1 species
GACGAACGCUGGCGGCGUGCCUAAUACAUGCAAGUCGAACGAGAGCGACCGGUGCUUGCACUGGUCAAUCUAGUGGCGAACGGGUGAGUAACACGUGGGUAACCUGCCCAUCAGAGGGGGAUAACAUCCGGAAACGGAUGCUAAAACCGCAUGGGUCUUCGAACCGCAUGGUUUGAAGAGGAAAAGAGGCGCAAGCUUCUGCUGAUGGAUGGACCCGCGGUGCAUUAGCUAGUUGGUGAGGUAACGGCUCACCAAGGCCGUGAUGCAUAGCCGACCUGAGAGGGUGAUCGGCCACAUUGGGACUGAGACACGGCCCAAACUCCUACGGGAGGCAGCAGUAGGGAAUCUUCCGCAAUGGACGCAAGUCUGACGGAGCAACGCCGCGUGAGUGAAGAAGGUUUUCGGAUCGUAAAACUCUGUUGUUAGAGAAGAACAAGUGCUAGAGUAACUGUUAGCGCCUUGACGGUAUCUAACCAGAAAGCCACGGCUAACUACGUG